AUACUUUUUUAACUAAACCAUAAUAUCCCAAGUAUGGAAACUACUGCUCAUUAGCAGAAGCCCAAAGAGGUCAACUACCUAGUAGCCCAGGAUCACACAGGCAGUGAUUAGAACCAGGACUAACUAAAAGCUAGGUCUCCAGUUCUGGACUUAAAAUUCUCCUUGUUGUUGUUCUUAAAAUUCUGAGUUCUCUUCCAUAAUAGG